AACGCACCUUGCACCUUUUGGUAUUCCGAAAGGUAUGCCUGUUUGAGUGUCUUGAAACCUCACUCUCUAAGAGUUUUUUUUCUCUUUGAGACGUGGAUUUGGGUGUUUGCAAUUCUGCUCACCUUGAAUGUCUUUGUGGUUUUUAACCGUAGCCUGAUGUAAUAAGUUUCAUCUGGUCAAGGGAAAAAAGACUGCUGUCUAAUCGCCUCCUCUUGUGUGGCACCUUUUUUAAGACUAGACCUCAAAUCAGGUAGGACUACCCGCUGAACUUAA
rnacentral:misc_RNA from 1 species